GAGAUUAUGCAAGUUACUUUUCCCAAGACAUGCAGGAAGGGCUCGGUUUCUGUUGGCAGGAAGGACUGACUGACUGCUAGACCUCAGCCUCUGGAAGCUGGCAGAAGAGGAGAUUCCAUCCUGAGAGGUGCUAAGCUGCUGCUGCUGCUGCUGCCAGGAGAGUAAAGAAGGCACAGGGCGUCCCAUGUGACAUGGGAAACUUGAGGAGCAGCACAGGACACGGACCAGGUUGUUUCCAACAAAAGGAAUCUUCUUUCCUCCACAAUUUAGUCUUGGCUGUGUCUCCAGUGAGAAAGUACUACUUGGAACAUAAAGGAAUUCGAGAGAACACGCAGAGGAAAACAAAAAACACGAGAUGUCACUUUACAUUUGAUUUCAAAAAGUGAAUUUAGCAGAUCAAUUAUGUGUCUAUGUGGUCAAAAGGGAAAAGUCCUUCAUCUGAAGGGAAGCAGGACCUGAAGGAUGUAUCUCAGACAUGCCCAUGGCUCUCAGGGUCCAGGAAUGCACUGACUCAGGAGUGGAAGCUGAACCUGAAGUCUCCUACAUGGUCACAUAGAGCAGGACUGCACACCAGAUGUGGCUUUCUCUCAUCAUAUGCCUAAAUUUUUUUUAAAUUAUAACUGGUUUUUAGGCUGGCAAUUAAUUUCCCUUGGCUUGAACUCCUAAGAACUACAAGGUAAUGGGAAGCUGGCUGGCUCAUAAAUUAAAAUGGAAAAAGUGUUUUGAGAUAGCA